AGAGCUUUUGAAUAAGUAUAAUCAUGACUAGGUUCUGAAAAUUUUAUUGAUUUUGGAAUUUUGGGUCCCACCACGAAAAU
ensembl:ncRNA Y69H2.20 ncRNA